GACUUAAAUGGCAACUAAACCAUUAUGAGAAUUGGUGGGUGUUAGUGGGCUUAUAAAUUGUUAAUGUUUGAUUAUAAUUAUAAGGGUAAAAGAGUAAAUUAUUAAAUAUGCAUAUUAUAAUAAAAACAUGAUAAAAUUCAUUAUCAUCUUCUUCAUUUGGAAGCCACCAUCGAAACCCUAAAGGAGAAGAAAACAUAUUUGGCCAACUUUGGUUUGGUGAUUUGGUAAGCAAAGUUUGCCCAUUUUUAAUAAUUUUUAUGUUUUUGAGAUCGUUGCAACUAGGUCCAGCUAACCCGUACCUUUGAUUUUGAAACUGUUAAAGAUUUUGAAUGUUUCCAUUGAUGAACCUUUUGAUGUUAG
rnacentral:lncRNA from 1 species